GACGUAGGGCGCGAGCGUUGUCCGGAUUUAUUGGGCGUAAAGAGCUCGUAGGCGGCUUGUCGCGUCGUCCGUGAAAACCUGGGGCUCAACCCCAGGCUUGCGGUCGAUACGGGCAGGCUAGAGUUCGGUAGGGGAGACUGGAAUUCCUGGUGUAGCGGUGAAAUGCGCAGAUAUCAGGAGGAACACCUGCGGCGAAGGCGGGUUGCUGGGCCGACACUGACGCUGAUGCGCGAAAGCCAGGGGAGCGAAUGGG
rnacentral:rRNA from 1 species